GCCCAAGCACAAGAAUCGUAAUCGCAGCUCACGUACGGGUAGACUCGCUCUAUCACAUUCGCGCUGUGGGUGAAAGUCCCCGGAGCCUCUGUCCACAUCUCAGAUAUUCCCUUUCCAUCCCUUCUCUUCUCUCGGUCGAAUGUCGUAGAAUGUCGGUCUGUGGUCGGUAUUUACUAGUCUGAAUCUCACUUUGAGGGAUAGUCGGUUUGGCGGGGGACGAAGGAUACGAAAGGACUUGUACGUAAAACUACUUGAUAAUCCUUCAUCUCUCCCCUCGACUCAUUCUGGAGAUACGGUACGAACGAUAUUUGGCUGGAUCUUUCAACUGUGAUACUUCGCCGAGAGGGAAUCGGGAUGACUAGAUCAUCGAUUCCGAUCGAACGAUACGCUAUGACUUAUCAUCGGCUUCACGAGUCAGAGUAAGGUUCAUCCUGAAAUGCUUGAGGACGAUGACGUAUUGGAAUUUAGUGGGGAUUAUCGAAAGCUUCGAGAUGGGUAUCUCUUAUACAGGCGAAGAUACGAGCCGUUUAGGUAAAGAUACCCAUCUUGAAAAGUAGGAUGAAAGAUAACUCAUGGAAAGAUGAAAUACGCGCUCAUAGGUAAUAGUAAUGCGAUUGUCUAUCAUACUGACCUCUCAACAGAGAGGGAGGGAUAAGAUAACUCGAUGGGGCUUACUCUGUGUUUCUUGGG
rnacentral:RNase_MRP_RNA from 2 species